rnacentral:rRNA from 1 species
CCUACGGGAGGCAGCAGUGGGGAAUUUUGGACAAUGGGGGCAACCCUGAUCCAGCCAUUCCGCGUGAGUGAAGAAGGCCUUCGGGUUGUAAAGCUCUUUCGCAAGGGAAGAAAACUUAUGAUCGAAUAAAUCAUGAGGUUGACGGUACCUUGAUAAGAAGCACCGGCUAACUACGUGCCAGCAGCCGCGGUAAUACGUAGGGUGCGAGCGUUAAUCGGAAUUACUGGGCGUAAAGCGUGCGCAGGCGGUUUUGUAAGUCGGAUGUGAAAUCCCCGGGCUCAACCUGGGAACUGCGUUCGAAACUGCAAGGCUAGAGUGUGUCAGAGGGGGGUAGAAUUCCACGUGUAGCAGUGAAAUGCGUAGAGAUGUGGAGGAAUACCAAUGGCGAAGGCAGCCCCCUGGGAUAACACUGACGCUCAUGCACGAAAGCGUGGGGAGCAAACAGGAUUAGAUACCCUGGUAGUCCACGCCCUAAACGAUGUCAACUAGUUGUUGGUAGAGUAAAAUCUAUGAGUAACGUAGCUAACGCGUGAAGUUGACCGCCUGGGGGAGGUACGGUCGCGAAGUAGUUAAACUUACAAAGUAAGUUAGUUAGUACGNGNGAGAGCGACGACGACGACGACGGAGGAGGAG